CAAAUUCUUGCAUAUUCCUGUUCUUGAUGGAGAUGGGCGGGUUGCUGCUUGUUUGGACGUUCUGCAACUUACCCAUGCUGCAAUUUCAAUGGUUGAAGGAGGUCCUGGUGCUGCAACUGAUGUGGCAAACACGAUAAUGCAGAAAUUCUGGGACUCUGCACUUGCUCUAGAGCAACCUCGAGAGGAGGAUUUUGAUAGUCACAGGUUUAGUUAAUGUUUCUUUUGUGUUCUUUUUAUUUGUCUUCCCUCUCAAUGCAAUUCUUGCCUGAAUUAUUGCAUUGUACAAUGAAUUACCUUUAGUGAUGCCAUCAGAUGCCAGGGAUGGCAGUAGUAGUAUUUAUCGUCCUGCUGUUGAUAAUUUAUUUGUCUUUAAGCUUUAGGACAAGAAGGGACGCAUGCAUAGAUUCAC